UGAACACUACAUCUCAGUGGCUGAAUACAGCUUAGAGCUUAAAUUUGAGCAUGUAGAUAGAUUUUAACUUUAAUGAUACAUGAUUAGUUUACUAGUUGGAGAUUCAGGAGUAAAGUUGACAUUUUGGCAUAUCAUAUUUUUAUUUUAUUUAAUUAAGAAUUUGAGCCUGAAUAUAUUUGUUCAGCCUAUUUCUUGACGUGAAAUGUUGACAUUUGGAUGCCUUUAAAUAAUGAGUUAUCUGGUUACUUGACUGAAGACAUCAACAGGGCUAGCUGUUGGCAGAGAUUUGUCAUUCCUCUUUCAUUAGGGUCUUAUACUUUCCUUCCAUUAGAUUGAGUCUACAAA